rnacentral:lncRNA from 1 species
CUUCAACCUAAAUCCACGCCGGUGCUAUGUUCCUCCAACCUGCUGUUUGACAAAUAUCGACAGGAGAUGCAAAAGGCGGGGUACUAUACUCCAGGCAUGGCUGGGACUGGGGCGAAACCUCCAAGCAGCACCAUCCCUCAAAGGCUGAGUGGAAAGUCGGGCAGUUUUCAUGAGGAUAUGCCUGAGAAAUAUCUCCAAGAGCCUGUUUCCCAAGAAGGAGGCAGUGUCUACCGCUCACCCAGAGCUCUGAGGCCUCAGCUGGGGUUAGGGGCGGUCUCCAGGCAGCCUGCAGCCAAGACAAGAGUUCAACAGACAGGCCAAAGGUCAGCGCCGCCCCCAGGCCAGUGUGCUCAGGCAGCCACACCGGCUGCCCGAGGCUACCAGGACCCUGCAGGAGAGCAAAAGAGGUCAGGAGAAAGAGGUCCAGAAGCCACCCCUAAGAGCGUCCUGGUGAAACCAGGCCAGUCUGGUCUUCGUCCUCCAGGCUUCACCGCCCUGCCAGCUGCC